rnacentral:rRNA from 1 species
AGAGUUUGAUCCUGGCUCAGGACGAACGCUGGCUGCGUGCUUAACACAUGCAAGUCGAACGCUGAAGCCCUGGUGCUUGCACCGGGGUGGAUGAGUGGCGAACGGGUGAGUAACACGUGAGUAACCUGCCCCCGACUUCGGGAUAAGCCCGGGAAACUGGGUCUAAUACCGGAUAUGACGACCGAAGGCAUCUUUGGUUGUGGAAAGUUUUUUCGGUUGGGGAUGGGCUCGCGGCCUAUCAGUUUGUUGGUGAGGUAAUGGCUCACCAAGACGACGACGGGUAGCCGGCCUGAGAGGGCGACCGGCCACACUGGGACUGAGACACGGCCCAGACUCCUACGGGAGGCAGCAGUGGGGAAUAUUGCACAAUGGGGGAAACCCUGAUGCAGCGACGCAGCGUGCGGGAUGACGGCCUUCGGGUUGUAAACCGCUUUCAGCAGGGAAGAAGCCUUUCGGGGUGACGGUACCUGCAGGAGAAGUACCGGCUAACUACGUGCCAGCAGCCGCGGUAAUACGUAGGGUACAAGCGUUGUCCGGAAUUAUUGGGCGUAAAGAGCUCGUAGGUGGUUGGUCACGUCUGCUGUGGAAACGCAACGCUUAACGUUGCGCGUGCAGUGGGUACGGGCUGACUAGAGUGCAGUAGGGGAGUCUGGAAUUCCUGGUGUAGCGGUGAAAUGCGCAGAUAUCAGGAGGAACACCGGUGGCGAAGGCGGGACUCUGGGCUGUAACUGACACUGAGGAGCGAAAGCAUGGGGAGCGAACAGGAUUAGAUACCCUGGUAGUCC